UACGGAGGAUGCAAGCGUUAUCCGGAUUUAUUGGGCGUAAAGCGUCCGCAGGUGGCUAUUCAAGUCUGCUGUCAAAGCUCGGAGCUUAACUCCGAAUCGGCGGUGGAAACUGAACAGCUAGAGUGCAGUAGGGGUAGAGGGAAUUCCCAGUGUAGCGGUGAAAUGCGUAGAGAUCGGGAGGAACAUCAGUUGCGAAGGCGGCCACCUGGACCAGCACUGACACUGAGGCACGAAAGCGUGGGGAGCAAACAGGA
rnacentral:rRNA from 1 species